rnacentral:rRNA from 1 species
UACGGGGGGGGGCAAGCGUUUGUUCGGAAUUACUGGGCGUAAAGGGCUCGUAGGCGGCCAACUAAGUCAUACGUGAAAUCCCUCAGCUUAACUGGGGAACUGCGUCUGAUACUGGAUGGCUUGGAUUCGGGAGAGGAAUGCGGAAUUCCAGGUGUAGCGGUGAAAUGCGUAGAUAUCUGGAGGAACACCGGUGGCGAAGGCGGCAUUCUGGACCGAUAUUGACGCUGAGGAGCGAAAGCCAGGGGAGCAAAGCGGG